UUUGGAGGAUGUCGAUUUUCUACCUGCUAAUUCAAUGGUUUGUAAUCCCUGGCUAGAAGUAAGGAUGCCGAGUGACCUGUUUUCUACAAGCUGCAAGGCAAUGCUGUUGGAACCAGGAACUCAAGCUUAGCUAUUUUAUAGGCUCUUUGUAAACAGAAAUGAGUGAUGGUGCUCUACAUUGUGGCUUCAAAGGUUUCCUGAAAGGUUUCCUGGGUUAUGUGUGAGUCAACCUGCCUUUGAAACUGUCUGGUAGGAGUGCUGGUAUAACUUUAGUAUAACUUACCUAGGUCUAACACCAAAGAAGCAAUUAUGUGAAAAUCUCUUUUUCAUUGGGUUAAGUUCUUCUAGUUGUGGCCAGAUUUAAUUCAUAACUUUCAGAUAGAGAGGGAAGUACGAGGAUCCAGUGAGUUCUACUAAUUUAGGCAAAGAAGUAUCUUUUUUAGUUGCAGUUUUCAUGUAAUCAGACAAGAAUUGAUGUCAUCUUUUCUAACAUCACUUUAUAAAGUCAUAACUUAAAAGGACUGUAAUGAGGUUUGAUUAUUUCAUUCCACUUUUCAUCAUUAUCAUAAUCCCUU
rnacentral:lncRNA from 1 species